rnacentral:rRNA from 1 species
UACGGAGGUUGCGAGCGUUGUCCGGAAUCACUGGGCGUAAAGGGCGCGUAGGCGGCCUGAUAAGUCGGGGGUGAAAUCCUGCGGCUUAACCGCAGGGCUGCCUUCUAAACUGUCAGGCUGGAGCACAGUAGAGGCAGGUGGAAUUCCCGGUGUAGCGGUGGAAUGCGUAGAGAUCCGGAAGAACACCGGUGGCGAAGGCGGUCUGCUGGGCAGUAGCUGACACUGAGGCGCGACAGCGUGGGGAGCAAACAGG